rnacentral:rRNA from 1 species
GUUAGGAAUAUUGGACAAUGGGCGCAAGCCUGAUCCAGCCAUGCCGCGUGAGUGAUGAAGGCCUUCGGGUUGUAAAGCUCUUUAGCCGAUGAUUAUAAUGACUGUAGUCGGAAAAUAAGCCCCGGCUAACUUCGUGCCAGCAGCCGCGGUAAUACGAAGGGGGCGAGCGUUAUUCGGAAUCACUGGGCGUAAAGCGUGCGUAGGCGGCUUUGCAAGUUGGGAGUGAAAGCCCAGGGCUCAACCCUGGAAUUGCUCUCAAAACUGCAAGGCUCGAAUUCGGGAGAGGAUAGCGGAAUUGUCAGUGUAGCAGUGAAAUGCGUAGAUAUUGACAGGAACACCAGUGGCGCAAGCGGCUAUCUGGACCGAUAUUGACGCUGAGGCACGAAAGCGUGGGGAGCAAACAGGAUUAGAAACCCUUGUAGUCC